UACGUGCCAGCAGCCGCGNUAAUACGUAGGUCCCGAGCGUUGUCCGGAUUUAUNGGGCGUAAAGCGAGCGCAGGCGGUUAGAUAAGUNUGAAGUUAAAGGCUGUGGCUUANCCAUAGUACGCUUUGGAAACUGUUUAACUUGAGUGCAGAAGGGGAGAGUGGAAUUCCAUGUGUAGCGGUGAAAUGCGUAGAUAUAUGGAGGAACACCGGUGGCGAAAGCGGCUCUCUGGUCUGUAACUGACGCUGAGGCUCGAAAGCGUGGGGAGCGAACAGGAUUAGAUACCCUGGUAGUCCACGCCGUAAACGAUGAGUGCUAGGUGUUAGGCCCUUUCCGGGGCUUAGUGCCGCAGCUAACGCAUUAAGCACUCCGCCUGGGGAGUACGACCGCAAGGUUGAAACUCAAAGGAAUUGACGGGGGCCCGCACAAGCGGUGGAGCAUGUGGUUUAAUUCGAAGCAACGCGAAGAACCUUACCAGGUCUUGACAUCCCGAUGCCCGCUCUAGAGAUAGAGUUUUACUUCGGUACAUCGGUGACAGGUGGUGCAUGGUUGUCGUCAGCUCGUGUCGUGAGAUGUUGGGUUAAGUCCCGCAACGAGCGCAACCCUUAUUGUUAGUUGCCAUCAUUCAGUUGGGCACUCUAGCGAGACUGCCGGUAAUAAACCGGAGGAAGGUGGGGAUGACGUCAAAUCAUCAUGCCCCUUAUGACCUGGGCUACACACGUGCUACAAUGGCUGGUACAACGAGUCGCAAGUCGGUGACGGCAAGCUAAUCUCUUAAAGCCAGUCUCAGUUCGGAUUGUAGGCUGCAACUCGCCUACAUGAAGUCGGAAUCGCUAGUAAUCGCGGAUCAGCACGCCGCGGUGAAUACGUUCCCGGGCCUUGUACACACCGCCCGUCACACCACGAGAGUUUGUAACACCCGAAGUCGGUGAGGUAACCUUUUAGGAGCCAGCCGCC
rnacentral:rRNA from 1 species